rnacentral:piRNA from 1 species
UGAUGACAUGUGAAUAGGAACAAAAAGG